rnacentral:rRNA from 1 species
UACGUAGGGUGCGAGCGUUGUCCGGAAUUAUUGGGCGUAAAGGGCUCGUAGGCGGUUUGUCGCGUCGGGAGUGAAAACACCGGGCUUAACUCGGUGCUUGCUUUCGAUACGGGCAGACUAGAGGUAUUCAGGGGAGAACGGAAGUUCCUGGUGUAGCGGUGAAAUGACGCAGAUAUCAGGAGGAACACCGGUGGCGAAGGCAGUGUCCUGGGAAGUACCUGACGCUCAGGUGCGAAAGCUAGGGGAGCGAACAGG